rnacentral:rRNA from 1 species
AAGACAACUUUACGGAGUUGACGAUUGACGGAGCGAAGCGACGUCAAAGCGUUCAUUAAAGUCGAGUUGGCUUAGGGAUACGUUCGUUGGGUAGGGGAGCGUUCUGUAAGCCUGUGAAGGUGUGUCGUGAGGCAUGCUGGAGGUAUCAGAAGUGCGAAUGCUGACAUAAGUAACGAUAAAGCGGGUGAAAAGCCCGCUCGCCGGAAGACCAAGGGUUCCUGUCCAACGUUAAUCGGGGCAGGGUGAGUCGACCCCUAAGGCGAGGCCGAAAGGCGUAGUCGAUGGGAAACGGGUUAAUAUUCCCGUACUUGGUGUUACUGCGAAGGGGGGACGGAGAAGGCUAUGUUGGCCGGGCGACGGUUGUCCCGGUUUAAGCGUGUAGGUGUGUGUUCCAGGUAAAUCCGGUUCACUUUAACACUGAGGCGUGACGACGAGGCACUACGGUGCUGAAGCAACAAAUGCCCUGCUUCCAGGAAAAGCCUCUAAGCAUCAGGUAACAUCAAAUCGUACCCCA